UACGUAGGGCGCAAGCGUUAUCCGGAAUUAUUGGGCGUAAAGAGCUCGUAGGCGGUUUGUCGCGUCUGCCGUGAAAGUCCGGGGCUCAACCCCGGACUUGCAGUGGGUACGGGCAGACUAGAGUGUGGUAGGGGGAGACUGGAAUUCCUGGUGUAGCGGUGAAAUGCGCAGAUAUCAGGAGGAACACCGGUGGCGAAGGCGGGUCUCUGGGCAGUUACUGACGCUGAGGAGCGAAAGCAUGGGGGAGCGAACAGG
rnacentral:rRNA from 1 species